rnacentral:rRNA from 1 species
CCUACGGGAGGCAGCAGUGAGGAAUAUUGGUCAAUGGACGAGAGUCUGAACCAGCCAAGUAGCGUGAAGGAUGACUGCCCUAUGGGUUGUAAACUUCUUUUAUAAAGGAAUAAAACGAGGCACGUGUGCCCUUUUGCAUGUACUUUAUGAAUAAGGAUCGGCUAACUCCGUGCCAGCAGCCGCGGUAAUACGGAGGAUCCGAGCGUUAUCCGGAUUUAUUGGGUUUAAAGGGUGCGUAGAUGGGUUGUUAAGUCAGUUGUGAAAGUUUGCGGCUCAACCGUAAAAUUGCAAUUGAUACUGGCAGUCUUGAGUACAGUUGAGGUAGGCGGAAUGCGUGGUGUAGCGGUGAAAUGCUUAGAUAUCACGAAGAACCCCGAUUGCGAAGGCAGCUUACUAAACUGUGACUGACAUUGAUGCUCGAAAGUGUGGGUAUCAAACAGGAUUAGAUACCCCAGUAGUC